AAUUUGACGUUGCUGAUGAAGUGAAUAGGGUAUCCUACAAGAAUGUUGACAUAGGACUGGGUGCUGAAUCUGCCAUCAAGGUGAUGUAAUCAUACAACAGUUCCAGAGCUUUCUCUCUCUUGAGGCGAGAGAUGAGAGAUUCUCCUCCUUCCAGCCACUGAAGGAGCAACUUGAUGUCUUCCUGCAUUCAGCCCUCAGCAAGUCUUAUCCAGGGCUAUAUAAGUUUUCUCAGAGCCUUCUACUUCUGUCCCACGGACAAGCCACGGUUUAGAAAGAGGGUUUUCCAUCAACAAGGAGGUUGAAACAUGCAACAUCCUUGAAAAGUCGAUGGAAGCUUUGAGGCUGAUAUGUGACAAGAUCAGUGUCUGUGGGGGUGUUUUGAAGGUACCUCUCACAAAGGAGCUCAUGGCUUCAGUAGCCUGUGCAAGGUCAAGGUACAGGAGUUACCUGGAAGAUGAACGGAAGAAGAAACAGAGUUCCACACAGGACCUCAAAAGAAAAGCAGUGCAAGAGGAGAUAGAAGACCUGAAACGGAAACGAACGGUUCUGACAGAGGUGUGCGACUCCCUCCAAACAGAUGCUGAUAAUCUGGGACAUUAAUGGCACAACUGAUCACGAAGUCCAACAUCCUCAGAAAACGUAGUAAAGAAAAACGGAACGAAUUGGCCCAAACUGAGAAGCUGCUGGGAACAAAAUCAGAAGA